rnacentral:rRNA from 1 species
CAACGUUGAGCAACCUGCCUUUCAGAGGGGGAUAACAGUUGGAACGACUGCUAAUACCGCAUAACGCUGCGAUGGGGCAUCCCGAUGCAGCCAAAGGAGCAAUCCGCUGAAAGAUGGGCUCGCGGCCGAUUAGCUAGUUGGUGGGGCAACGGCCCACCAAGGCGACGAUCGGUAGCCGGACUGAGAGGUUGAUCGGCCACAUUGGGACUGAGACACGGCCCAGACUCCUACGGGAGGCAGCAG